AUUGAACGCUGGCGGAAUGCUUUACACAUGCAAGUCGAACGGCAGCACGGACUUCGGUCUGGUGGCGAGUGGCGAACGGGUGAGUAAUGUAUCGGAACGUGCCCAGUCGUGGGGGAUAACGUAGUGAAAAUUACGCUAAUACCGCAUACGAUCUAUGGAUGAAAGCGGGGGAUCGCAAGACCUCGCGCGAUUGGAGCGGCAGAUAUCAGAUUAGGUAGUUGGGGGGGUAAAGGCCCACCAAGCCAACGAUCUGUAGCUGGGCUGAGACGACGGCCAGCCACACUGGAACUGGGACACGGUCCAGACUCCGACGGGAGGUGGCAGGGGGGAAUGUUGGACAAUGGGAGAAAGCCUGAGUCAGCCAUUCCGCGGGCAGGAAGAAGGCCCUCGGGUUGUAAACUGCUUUUGUACAGAACGAAAAGGUUUCUACUAAUACUAGGAGCUCAUGACGGUACUGUAAGAAUAAGCACCGGCUAACUACGUGCCAGCCGCCGCCGUAA
rnacentral:rRNA from 1 species